rnacentral:rRNA from 1 species
GUCCACGCUGUAAACGAUGGGUACUAGGCGUCGGGGGAGCGACCCCUCGGUGCCGUCGCUAACGCAGUAAGUACCCCGCCUGGGGAGGUACGGCCGCAAGGCUGAAACUCAAAGGAAUUGACGGGGGCCCGCACAAGCGGUGGAGCAUGUGGUUUAAUUCGAUGCAACGCGAAGAACCUUACCUGGGCUUGACAUGCUGGUGAAAGCUGAUGGAAACAUCGGCCCCUCUUCGGAGCGCCAGCACAGGUGCUGCAUGGCUGUCGU